UAUCUCUGUAGAGUCUGCAUAUCAAUAAGCGGAGGAAAAGAAACUAACUAGGAUUCCCUUAGUAACGGCGAGUGAAGCGGGAAGAGCUCAAAUUUGAAAUCUUCAAGGUUUUACCUUGACGAAUUGUAGUUUAAAGAAGUGUUUUCUGUUGGAGUUUUGGUAAAAGUUCUUUGGAAUAGGACAUCAUAGAGGGUGAGAAUCCCGUAUUUGACCAUUAUUUCAGCUGUGUGAUACACUUUCAAAGAGUCGGGAUUGUUUGGGAAUGCAGUCCAAAAUGGGUGGUAAAUUUCAUCUAAAGCUAAAUACUGGCGAGAGACCGAUAGCGAACAAGUACCGUGAGGGAAAGAUGAAAAGAACUUUGAAAAGAGAGUUAAACAGUACGUGAAAUUGUCAAAAGGGAAGCGUUUGACACCAGUGUUGUUUUCUCGAAAAUCAAUUAAAAAUGGCGGGAUUUUGUGUUGUAUUGACUUUAUCAGCUUUCUGCACUUUUUUCCUGUCUUUUUUAAUGCACUUUUCGUUUAACAAGUCAACAUCAAUUUCUUUUGUUGUAAAAGGGUCAUUGGAAGGUGGCUUUCUUUUCGGAGAAAGUGUUUAUAGCCUUUGGCCUCUGCAAUCGGAGAGAUUGAGGUCUGCAGCGUAGAUCCUUCGGGGUUAGAUACAUUUGUGCUAAGUUAUAGCCUUUCAUAGACAACUUGUUGACUAUGAUCAGUCAUGUAGCUUACUCGCUUAUGCUAUUUUACCUACGCUUAGGAUGUUGAGUCAUCACACAUCUCU
rnacentral:rRNA from 1 species